GCCGUGAGGUGUUGGGUUAAGUCCCGCAACGAGCGCAACCCCUAGGUCUAGUUAGUUUCCUAGACCGACUGCCGGGACCAACCCGGAGGAAGGUGGGGAUGACGUCAAGUCAGCACGGCCCUUACGUCCUGGGCUACACACACGCUACAAUGGCCGGUACAGCGGGCGUCGCGAAGCCGCGAGGCGGAGCCAAUCCCUGCAAAGCCGGCCCCAGUGCAGAUCGGGGGCUGCAACUCGCCCCCGUGAAGUCGGAGUUGCUAGUAACCGCGGGUCAGCACACCGCGGUGAAUACGUUCCCGGGCCUUGUACACACCGCCCGUCACGUCACGAAAGCCGGGGGCGCCUGAAGCCGGCGGGGUAACCCUUCGGGGGGCCAGCCGUCGAGGGCGAAAUCGGUGAUUGGGACGAAGUCGUAACAAGGUAGCCGUACCGGAAGGUGCGGCUGGAUCACCUCCUUUCUAGGGAGACCAUCACCCCCGCGGACCAAACGGUCCGAGGAGGGGGCGGGAUCCUCAGGUCGAUCGGGGUCUGUGACGAGCCAUCUUCCCAUCGCUCUUCUGCUGUGGACGCGAGACCACACAGGAGCCUAUAAUCUUCGGCGUGUUCGAGCGGGGACGGCUGACGAGGGUGGACGUGCGGUAGGCACGGUCCCAGCUCCGAGUCGGUCGGCCCGAGCGGCGGGCCGUUUUUUUGUGGGCUGAUUAACAAACGAAGAGUGAGUCAAGCCGACCGGCGGCGGCAUCUGCGUCCUAGCAGGUGCGCCGCCGAUGAACGAUGUCGAUUGAGCGGAGGGCGCGACGAAUGCGUCCUGCGUUAGAGAGUGCUCCCGGGGGAUGCCCUGGGCGCCGGAGGCCGAGGAAGGGCGGGCGCGAGGGUCCGAGAGCGUGGGGGAGCCCCCUGGCGGGCGUGGAUCCCACGGUGC
rnacentral:sRNA from 1 species